GCGGUUCCAAGAACAAUGUCCAAACAGGACUGCUGCAACAUCAACGUAAGUAAAGCCUCACUUCGGAGCGGCACUCGUGGGAGCAACCCAACCGAGUAUGCAAACGUGUCUCUGUCAAGCUCAAUCAGGCUCACAGAGGAUAUAGUCAAUGCAAAUGGGUCAAACUGGUCUAACAACCAAAACUCACGUGCUCUCGGCACAAUCUGGAACAAAAUGUAAACAUCUGGGUCCAUCAUCAACCACGACGACACCCAACAGUACGGAACCGUCCAAACUCUACUGUAAAACGAGCUCGGCCCCUCAGCACGAGCAUAAUCUUAACCUACACUAAUCUGGAUAUCCACAAUGUACUAACAACGGUGAUACAAAAGAACAACAGCUUCUGAAGUUAAUUCGGUUAACUUUUCAAAAAGUGACAGUGUAGGUUUAAUCAAUUUUCUCCUAAGUCAAAUCUCAGUUCAGUAUAUAUAAUGUCACGCCUCGAGCCCGGUCCUAUUUGGCUGGUUCGAGCACGUCGAACAGAUGCCGAACGGACAGCACCUCCCCUGUCCGCCCAAGGCUCAAAAACAAGUACAGAACAAGUAUAUAAAUUGCAUAGCGGAAACAUAAAUAUACUUGGCUUGCGCAAGGGCAAGCGAUAGCCAAAGUGAAAGUACUAAACUAAACAUCAUACAAGUAAUAUGAUUAACUUUUAAUCACAUACAUGCAUUCAAUCACAAGUUACAUUUACAUUCUUUUCAUCAAUUCUUCUUUUGAUACAUCACAUGAUAUCCCAAAAUAUAUCUCUUUGCAUUUAAACAUAAACUCUUUUACAUCACUCAUAUUCUUUCAUUUAAACAUCUAUAAUCAUUAAGUACAAAAGAUGAUAUACAAAAGGGUAUGCAACUAUAUAA
rnacentral:lncRNA from 1 species